ensembl:lncRNA
GCUCAGAGUCUGGGAUUUGUCCGGGUUUUGCAAUCCUGGAGGGCUUUGCUGCUUGCUGCAGACCCACGAGCUGCCAGGAAGCCCCAGAAGAUGCUUGAGAAGAAAGAGGUGAUAAACAGGCUCUGAACCCUUUUACCCACUGGCUCCAUCCCAAACCAAAAUGAGAAGGCUGUACCCAUGCCAGAUGGAAAUUCCCAACUAGGGAUCAAAUUGGAACUGUAGCUGCUGGCCUGUACACAGCCACAGCAACGAGGGAUCCGAGCCGCAUCUGCAACCUACACCACAGCUCACAGCAACGCCCAAUCCUUAACCCACUGAGCGAGGUCAGGGAUCCAACCCACAACCUCAUGGGUCUUAGUUGGGCUGAUUACCACAGAGCCACAAGGGGAACUCCAUAGCUAAGUCUGAAUGCAAAAAUUCCACUUCAUAUAACAUAAUGGGAAUAAAACCGAGCACCUUACAUACAACUGACAUUUUAACAAAAUAUAUCAAGUCAAAUAAAAACCAAACACUGACAACACCAAAUCCUUUCAGGACUUUUCUGGUAGCAUCAUGUGACUCAAACAAAUUUUUAGAAACUCUGUUAAAUUGCUGAAUGUCUGACCAUUCUCUGGGAGGACCUAGGCAAAAGUUGACAGGAAGACCUAGGCUCAAAACUUUUUAACAUUAAUCAGCACUGUUUUCAUGAGGUUUAUAAUCAAUCAUUCUCAUAACAAUUCCACAUCUUUUUAUUUUUUAUUUGUCUUUUUAGGGCCGCACCCGUGGCACAUGGAGGUUCCCAGGCUAGGGCUCGAGUUGGAGCUGCAGCUGCCACAGCCACGGUGAUGCCGUAUCCUUAACCCACUGAGUGGAGCCAGGGAUGGAACCCUCAUCCUCAUGGAUACCAGUCUGGUUCAUUAACCACUGAGCCACUUCGGGAGCUCCCCCGUAUCUUUUUAAAAUGAAGACUCUAGGGCACAGAGGAGGCAAGUAACUCAAACCAACUCAUUCAAUAAAUACUUAUUUGUUCAA